rnacentral:rRNA from 1 species
AUUGAACGCUGGCGGCAUACCUUACACAUGCAAGUCGAACGGUAACAGGUCUUCGGAUGCUGACGAGUGGCGAACGGGUGAGUAAUACAUCGGAACGUGCCCGAGAGUGGGGGAUAACGAGGCGAAAGCUUUGCUAAUACCGCAUACGAUCUCAGGAUGAAAGCAGGGGACCGCAAGGCCUUGCGCUCACGGAGCGGCCGAUGGCAGAUUAGGUAGUUGGUGGGAUAAAAGCUUACCAAGCCGACGAUCUGUAGCUGGUCUGAGAGGACGACCAGCCACACUGGGACUGAGACACGUCCCAGACUCCUACGGGAGGCAGCAGUGGGGAAUUUUGGACAAUGGGCGCAAGCCUGAUCCAGCCAUGCCGCGUGCAGGAUGAAGGCCUUCGGGUUGUAAAGGACUUUUGUCGGGGAGGAAAUCCCCAGCGUUAAUACCGCUGGGGGAUGACAGUACCUGAAGAAUAAGCACCGGCUAACUACGUGCCAGCCGCCGCGGUAACAC